GAUGAACGCUGGCGGCGUGCCUAAUACAUGCAAGUCGAGCGAACGGACGCGGAGCUUGCUUGUCUGAUGUUAGCGGCGGACGGGUGAGUAACACGUGGAAAACCCACCUAUCUGACUGAGAUCACUUCGGGAAUCCGGAGCUAAUAGCGGAUAAUAUUCUGAACCGCGUGGUUCAAAGGAGAAAGACGGUGUUGCGGUCACUUAUCGAUGGAUCCGGGCUGCAUGAGCUAGUUGGUACGGUAACGGCUUACCAAGGCAACGAUGCAUAGCCGACCGGAGGGGCUGAUCGGCCACCCUGGAGCUGAGACACGGUCCAGACGCCUACGGGAGGCAGCAGUAUGGAAUCGUCCGCAAUAGGCGAAAGCAUGACGGAGCAACGCCGCGUGAGUUAUGAAGGUCUUCGGAUCGUAAAACUCUGUUAUGAGGUAAGAACAGAUUUGUAAGGAGCUGUGCACAUCUUGACGGUACCGAAUCAGAAAGCCACGGCUAACUACGUG
rnacentral:rRNA from 1 species